CAAGUACAUGAAAAGGUAUUCAACAUCACUAAUUAUCAAGGAAAUGCAAAUCAGAAUCACAAUGAGAAACCACCUCACACCUAUUACAAUGGCUAUCAUCAAAAAAGGCAAAAGAUGCUCUUCCUCUAAGUGGCCUGAGGUUACCUCUGAAAAUGGUUCUCUGUUCGCUUAAUCCAGAAAACCCUACCAAAUCAUGCAAGUCAAGAGGUUCAAAUCUUCAUGCUCACUUUACGAACACACAUGAAACUGCCCAGGCCAUCAAGGGUAUGCAUAUCUGAAAAGCCAUCAAGUAUCUGAAAGAUGUCACUUCGCAGAAGCAGCAUGUGUCAUUCCUUCCCUACAAUGGUGGAGUUGGUAGGUGUGCCCAGGUCAAACAGUGGAGCUGACUGGGUCAGUGCUGAAUUUUUACUGCUCAUGCUUAAAAAUGCAGAGAGUAAAUGCUGAACUUAAGGGAUUUUGUUUUUUAGAUUUUAUUUGUUCAUGAGAGACACAGAGACAAAGGCAGAGACAUAGAGGAAAAGCAGGCUCCCUGUGGGGAGCCCGAUGCAGGACUCAAUCCCAGGACCCCAGGAUCCCGACCUGAGCCAAAGGCCGAUGCUCAAUGGUUGAACCACCCAGGUGUCCUGAUCUUAAGAGUUUAGAGGUAGAUUCUCUGGUCAUUGAGCACAUCCAGGUGAACAAAGCCCCCAAGAUGCGGUGUAAAAUUUACAGGGCUCAGGUCGGAUUAACCCAAACAUGUGCUCUCCCUGCCACAUUGAGAUGAUCCUUACUGAAAAAGAGUAGGAUUGUUCCUAAACCAGAAGAGGAGUUUGCACAGAAAAAUAUAUUCCAGAAGAAACUGAAGAAGCAAAAAUUUAUGGCCCAGGAGUAAAUUCUGCAUAGAAUAAAUGUAAAAAAAAAGACAAAAAAUAAGAGGCAUUAAUGAGAAUAUGGAGAAAAUGGAAUCCUUGUGCACCAUGGGUGGGAACGUAAAUUUCAGUCACUAUGGAAAGAAAACAGCAUGAAGUUUCCUCCAAAAAUUAAAAAUAGAACUAACAUAUGUUCCAGCAAUCCCACUUCGGGAUAUAAAUCCAAAAGAAAUUAAAACAAGAUAUCAAAGAAAUAUCUGCAUUCCCAUGUUCACUGCAGUAUUAUUCACGGUAGCUAAGAUAGAGAAAUAACUUAAAUGUCCAUCAGUGGAGGAAUAAAGAAGAUGUGAUUAUAUAUAUGGGAAUAUUAUUCAGCCAUGAGAAAGCAGGAAAUCCUGCCGCUUAGAACAACAUGGAUAGGUCUUGGGGGCAUUAUGCUAUGUGAAACAAACCAGAGAAAGAUAAAUACUGCACAGUGUCACUUAAGGUGUGAAGGGGAAAAAAAUGAAAGAGAGAGAGAGUAAAAAAGUAGUUGCCAGAGGUAGAGGUUGGGGGUGGAGGAGGGAGAGGUUGGUAAAAAGGUAUGAACUUUCAGCUAUAAAAUGAGUUAAGUUCUGGGGGUGCCUGUGUUGCUCAGUCAGUUGGGCAUCUGCCUUGGACUCAGGUUGUGAUCCAGUGGCCCUGGGAUUGGGCCCUGUGUUGGGCUCUUUGCUCAACAGGGAGCCUGCUUCUCCCUCUCCCUCUGCCUCCCCCCUGGCUUGUGCUAUCUCUUUCUCUCUCAAAUAAGUAAAAUCUUAAAAAAAAAAAAAAAAAAAAAAAAA
rnacentral:lncRNA from 1 species